GUCCCAGUAGCUCAGCUGGAUAGAGCACCACCCUCCUAAGGUGGGUGUCGGGGGUUCGAAUCCCUUCUGGGACGCCA
rnacentral:tRNA from 1 species